GGCAAGAUGGCCGAGCGGUCUAUGGCGUGUGACUCAAGCGUAACAGCUUGCCUCUGUCAUUAGGGGUUUCUCAUGGGAGUAUUCCCGCGUGGGUUCAAAUCCCACUCUUGUCA
rfam:Coprinopsis cinerea okayama7#130 chromosome 2 cont3.2, whole genome shotgun sequence.